GCGGGGGGGGGUCGUUGGACUCAAUAUUCUCUAGAGAUUACUUCCAGCCUCUUCAGUUCUGUGAUUCUGUGAUUGUAAUCGUUGCUUCUUGCAGCAGUAGUGUUUCAGAAGAGAGAAAAAGAUGGUGGCAAUGAACUGGCUUUCUGUGGCUGGUAAAGCUGUGCUGAGAACUGGGCUGACUAUUGCAACUGAAAAUGCGUGCCAAGUCUGCAGACGCAGAGGAAUAACUAUUCCGUGUUGGCUGAGCUUGUCUAAGGUAGGUGUCCUUGCUAGGUGAGCUUCUGCUUUAAAGCAUCACGUUGUAAUUUUAAAAGCAAGGUUGCCAGUUCUUUUUUUACCCAAGUGAUUUUUUAGCACGGAGAGAUUUCAGAUGCUGUUUGGUAAUGGAAGAUGGAGAGAGGAAAAGCAAGUAAAAGGCACGCUGUGCAUAGCCAGCGCAUCCCAUCUGUACCGUUGUCCCCCUGCACAAAGGAGAGGAGCAUCUCAGCAAGCUUGGCCUGGGCCCUGGAAGGGAUCAUACAAACAUCUGGACCAACGCGACAGGAGUUAGUUCUGCAGCUGUCGCAACGCUUUGAUCCCCUGCUGCUGGGCUGGGGCGUUUGAGGAAUGAUGCAUGUGCUGAUGUCCACCAGGCUUUGGGGAUGAGUCUGCGUAGCAGGGAGGGCAGGUGGUGAAGCUCAUGAAGCAAUGCCUGCAGAUGGGGUUUGCAGAGCAAGAGGUCCGUCCUGCAGGCCUUGUGUGACACGCAUGGAGCUGUAGCGAGGCUGCAUCAGUGUAAAACAGCAGAAAUGCACGGAGGUGUGAAGGUGAGCGGUGGGCUCCAGUAGUGCAGGAGGGGAUGUGCGUGCUCAGGGUUUGGCUGCUUCUGUGUGUGUGUUUUAUGUGAGUGUGAUGCCAUUGCUUGGUCCGUUUGAGUGUAUGAAACAAGUGUGCCAUCCUUUGUGAUGGAGUCGUGUGCAAGGAGUCCUAUGGCUUUGAGAGCUGACUUGAAGCCUGUGGGCAUCACGGAGGAAUAGGGGUAGGGGAUGAGGGGAGGGAAGUUGGGGUAAGAGGAAGAGGCGUAGGGACAGGAACCUCUUUGGCCGAUAUGAUGUCCUGCCGUUCUCUUUUUGGAUUAGGAAUCUCUGUGUGUUUUUUAGUGAAGAACAAACUCUGUGUUCAGUUGUGAAUGAAUGAAUUCAGGCCUGCUAGUUGGUGUUCUUCUCUACACGGAGCCGCAAUUGAAAUGGACGCUCCUGGUGUGAUGUGCGGCCCCGCCCCGUGUUCUCAGAUCCGCCAAGUUGGCAAGGCCUGGCUCUUGGUUGGUGAGCUGUGCCCAGGGUGAGAGACUUGACUCUUGUGGGCUUUGAGACAUGUCUUCGAGUUGCACGUUGUGUUAUUUCUGUUGGGUUGACCUCUUGAGCUCCAGCCCUAAGCGAGGAUCCAAGCAGUAGCGCAGAAGGAAUGGUUUAGACUGGAAGUGCAAUGCCAAGGGCUGGAGCCAGCCGGAGCUGGGAAGUGAUCAUCUCCCCGUACUCAGCACUGGUGAGUCCUCACCUUGAGUAGUGUGUUUGGUUCUGGGCCCCUCACUACAAGGGGGCCCCUGAAAGCCUGAAGUGUGUCCAGAGAAGAGCAAUGAAGCUGUGAGGGUUGUAGAGCACAAGUCUGAUGGGGAGCGGCUGAGGGAAGUGGGAUUCGUUAGUGUGGAGAAGAGGAGGCUGAGGGAAGACCACCUCACUCUGUCCAAUGACGUGACGAGUGGUUAUGUGGAGGUGGGGGUGGUCCUCUUCUCGCAUGGAACUAGUGCUAGAACUAGAGGGAAUGGCCUCGAGUUACAUGAGGGGAGAUUGAGGUUGGAUGUGAAGAAAAGCUUCUCCCAGUGAGCGGUCAGACGCUGGAAGGGGCUGCCCAGGGAGGUGAUAGAGCUACUGUCCCUGUGGGUGUUCAAGGAACAUUGGAUGUUGUAGUGAGGGACGUGUCUUAGUGGGAAGGAAAUAUUGGUGGUAGGUGAGUGGUUGGACUGGAUGAUCUUGGAGGUCUUUUCCAACCUUGCUGAUGCUGUGACUGUAGGAAAGGCAUGUGCUGGGUGAGUGCUUUGCUGGGUGAGCAUCCCCCUGCUGGAAAGCAGGCAGCUGUUGUCUUUGCAGACAGCCAGAUCCAUGGGGAUUGGAAGCCUUUGGAACCUGAACCUUGUCUUUCCCGUCUCAUGCCCAACAACUCAUGUUGUUUGAAAGCAGCACCUUAGAGGCAACCUUGAUUUCUCCAGCCUUCUCCGAGCUUUCCUAGAAUCCUAGAAUCGCUAAGGCUGGAA